GCGGGCGUAGCUCAGUUGGUAGAGCAUCAGCCUUCCAAGCUGACGGUCGCGGGUUCGAACCUCGUCGCCCGCUCUA
rnacentral:tRNA from 1 species